UACGGAGGGCGCAAGCGUUGUUCGGAUUCAUUGGGCGUAAAGCGCGUGUAGGCGGAAAGGUCAGUCUGGUGUGAAAUCUUCACCGCUCAACGGGAAGAGGUCAUUGGAUACUACCUUUCUUGAGGUCGUUAGAGGGAACCGGAAUACCUGGUGUAGCGGUGGAAUGCGUAGAUAUCAGGUAGAACACCGAUUGCGAAGGCGGGUUCCUGGGGCGAUCCUGACGCUGAGACGCGAAAGCCAGGGGAGCAAACGGG
rnacentral:rRNA from 1 species